GAUGAAGAACGCAGCGAAAUGCGAUAAGUAAUGUGAAUUGCAGAAUUCAGUGAAUCAUCGAAUCUUUGAACGCACAUUGCGCCCCUUGGUAUUCCGAGGGGCAUGCCUGUUCGAGCGUCAUUAUAACCCCUCAAGCUCAGCUUGGUGUUGGGGCCUGCUGCACUGGCAGCCCUUAAAAUCAGUGGCGGCGCCAUCUGGCUCUAAGCGUAGUAAUUCUUCUCGCUAUGGAGUCCUGGUGGAUGCUUGCCAUCAACCCCCAAUUUUUCUAUGGUCGACCUCGGAUCAGGUAGGGAUACCCGCUGAACUUAAGCAUAUCAAUAAGCGGAGGA
rnacentral:misc_RNA from 1 species